rnacentral:rRNA from 1 species
AGAACGAACGCUGGCGGCGUGCUUAACACAUGCAAGUCGAACGCGAAAGUUUUCUUCGGAAGAUGAGUAGAGUGGCGCACGGGUGAGUAACGCGUAAAUAAUCUACCCCUGCAUUCGGGAUAACCCACCGAAAGGUGUGCUAAUACCGGAUACGUUCUUUUGAUCGCGAGAUUAAGAGAAGAAAGGUGGCCUCUGAUAUAAGCUACUGUGCGGGGAGGAGUUUGCGUACCAUUAGCUAGUUGGUAGGGUAAUGGCCUACCAAGGCAAUGAUGGUUAGCGGGUCUGAGAGGAUGAUCCGCCACACUGGAACUGGAACACGGACCAGACUCCUACGGGAGGCAGCAGUGAGGGAUAUUGCGCAAUGGGGGCAACCCUGACGCAGCGACGCCGCGUGGAUGAUGAAGGCCUUCGGGUCGUAAAAUCCUGUCAGAUGGAAAGAAAUGUAUAUGUAUUAAUACUAUGUAUGCUUGACGGUACCAUCAAAGGAAGCACCGGCUAACUCCGUGCCAGCAGCCGCGGUAAUACGGAGGGUGCAAGCGUUGUUCGGAAUUACUGGGCGUAAAGCGCGCGUAGGUGGUCUGUUAUGUCAGAUGUGAAAGUCCACGGCUCAACCGUGGAAGUGCAUUUGAAACUGGCAGACUUG